rnacentral:rRNA from 1 species
AUUGAACGCUGGCGGCAUGCCUAACACAUGCAAGUCGAACGGCAGCACAGUAAAGACUUCGGUCUUUAUGGGUGGCGAGUGGCGGACGGGUGAGUAACGCGUAGGAAUCUGUCCUGGAGGGCGGGAUAACCCGAGGAAACUCGGGCUAAUACCGCAUGAUAUCGAGAGAUCAAAAGCAGGGGACCCUUCGGGGCCUUGCGCUCUAGGAUGAGCCUACGUCGGAUUAGCUAGUUGGUGGGGUAAAGGCCUACCAAGGCGACGAUCCGUAGCUGGUCUGGGAGGAUGACCAGCCACACUGGGACUGAGACACGGCCCAGACUCCUAUGGGAGGCUGCAGUGGGGAAUCUUGGACAAUGGGGGAAACCCUGUGCCAGCGAUGCCGCGUGUGUGAAGAAGUCCUUCGGGUUGUAAAGCACUUUAGUUGGGGAAGAAAAGUAAUAAGUAAAUAAUUCAUUGCUCUGACGGUACCCAAAGAAUAAGCACCGGCUAACUCUGUGCCAGCAGCCGCCGUAA